rnacentral:rRNA from 1 species
AUUGAACGCUGGCGGAAUGCUUUACACAUGCAAGUCGAACGGCAGCACGGACUUCGGUCUGGUGGCGAGUGGCGAACGGGUGAGUAAUGUAUCGGAGCGUGCCCAGUCGUGGGGGAUAACGUAGUGAAAAUUACGCUAAUACCGCAUACGAUCUAUGGAUGAAAGCGGGGGAUCGCAAGACCUCGCGCGAUUGGAGCGGCCGAUAUCAGAUUAGGUAGUUGGUGGGGUAAAGGCCCACCAAGCCAACGAUCUGUAGCUGGUCUGAGAGGACGACCAGCCACACUGGAACGGAGACACGGUCCAGACUCCUACGGGAGGCAGCAGUGGGGAAUUUUGGGCAAUGGGCGAAAGCCUGAUCCAGCCAUUCCGCGUGCAGGAUGAAGGCCCUCGGGUUGUAAACUGCUUUUGUACAGAACGAAAAGGUUUCUACUAAUACUAGGAGCUCAUGACGGUACUGUAAGAAUAAGCACCGGCUAACUACGUGCCAGCCGCCGCCGUAA